UACAGAGGGUGCGAGCGUUUAAUCGGAAUUACUGGGCGUAAAGCGUGCGUAGACGGUCAAGUAAGUCGGGUGUGAAAGCCCCGGGCUCAACCUGGGAAUUGCAUUCGAGACUGCGUGGCUAGGGUGCGGAAGAGGGAAGCGGAAUUUCCGGUGUAGCGGUGAAAUGCGUAGAUAUCGGAAGGAACACCAGUGGCGAAAGCGGCUCCUGGUCCAGCACCGACGUCAGGCACGAAAGCGUGGGGAGCAAACAGG
rnacentral:rRNA from 1 species